rnacentral:siRNA from 1 species
AAGCAUUGUAGUGCACUGGUGACC